AGAGUUUGAUCCUGGCUCAGGAUGAACGCUGGCGGCGUGCCUAAUACAUGCAAGUCGAGCGAACAGACGAGGAGCUUGCUCCUCUGACGUUAGCGGCGGACGGGUGAGUAACACGUGGAUAACCUACCUAUAAGACUGGGAUAACUUCGGGAAACCGGAGCUAAUACCGGAUAAUAUAUUGAACCGCAUGGUUCAAUAGUGAAAGACGGUUUUGCUGUCACUUAUAGAUGGAUCCGCGCCGCAUUAGCUAGUUGGUAAGGUAACGGCUUACCAAGGCAACGAUGCGUAGCCGACCUGAGAGGGUGAUCGGCCACACUGGAACUGAGACACGGUCCAGACUCCUACGGGAGGCAGCAGUAGGGAAUCUUCCGCAAUGGGCGAAAGCCUGACGGAGCAACGCCGCGUGAGUGAUGAAGGUCUUCGGAUCGUAAAACUCUGUUAUUAGGGAAGAACAAAUGUGUAAGUAACUAUGCACGUCUUGACGGUACCUAAUCAGAAAGCCACGGCUAACUACGUGCCAGCAGCCGCGGUAAUACGUAGGUGGCAAGCGUUAUCCGGAAUUAUUGGGGCGUAAAGCGCGCGUAGGCGGUUUUUUAAGUCUGAUGUGAAAGCCCACGGCUCAACCGUGGAGGGUUAUUGGGAACUGGAAAACUUGAGUGCAGAAGAGGAAAGUGGAAUUCCAUGUGUAGCGGUGAAAUGCGCAGAGAUAUGGAGGACACCAGUGGCGAAAGCGACUUUCUGGUCUGUACUGACGCUGAUGUGCGAAGCGUGGGGAUCAACAGGAUUAGAUACUCUGGUAGUCUACGCCGUCAACGAUGGAUGCUAAGUGUUAGGGGUUCCGCCCUUAUGCUGCAGCUAACGUAUAAAGCACUCGCUUGGGGAGUACGACC
rnacentral:rRNA from 1 species